rnacentral:rRNA from 1 species
UACAGAGGGGGCGAGCGUUGUUCGGAAUCACUGGGCGUAAAGGGUGCGUAUGCUGUCGGUUAAGUCUGAUGUGAAAUCCCCGGGCUCAACCCGGGAACUGCGUCCGAUACUGGGGGGCUUGAAUCCGGGAGAGGGAUGUGGAAUUCCAGGUGUAGCGGUGAAAUGCGUAGAUAUCUGGAGGAACACCGAUGGCGAAGGCGGCAUCCUGGACCGAUAUUGACGCUGAGGCGCGAAAGCUAGGGGAGCAAACGGG